rnacentral:piRNA from 1 species
AUCAAGGAGAGGUUCCUGCAGAUAAGA